UACGGAGGGUGCAAGCGUUAUCCGGAUUUAUUGGGUUUAAAGGGUCCGCAGGCGGACUAUUAAGUCAGUGGUGAAAGCCCACAGCUCAACUGUGGAAUUGCCGUUGAUACUGGUAGUCUUGAGUGCGUAUGAAGUUGGCGGAAUGUGUGGUGUAGCGGUGAAAUGCUUAGAUAUCACACAGAACACCGAUUGCGAAGGCAGCUGACUAAUACGUAACUGACGCUCAGGGACGAAAGUGUGGGGAUCAAAC
rnacentral:rRNA from 1 species